rnacentral:tRNA from 1 species
GCGAAAGUGGCGGAAUUGGUAGACGCGCCAGAUUUAGGUUCUGGUAUCGUAAGAUGUGAGAGUUCGAGUCUCUCCUUUCGCACCA